GAUGAACGCUAGCGGCAGGCCUAAUACAUGCAAGUCGAGGGGCAGCAGGAAUAGCAAUAUUUGCUGGCGACCGGCGCACGGGUGCGUAACACGUAUACAAUCUGCCUUCUACAGGGGGAUAGCCUUUCGAAAGAGAGAUUAAUACCCCAUAAUAAAUUGAAUAGCAUUAUUUGAUUUUGAAAGAUCCGUCGGUAGAAGAUGAGUAUGCGGGUGAUUAGCUAGUUGGUGAGGUAACGGCUCACCAAGGCAACGAUCACUAGGGGAUCUGAGAGGACUACCCCCCACACUGGUACUGAGACACGGACCAGACUCCUACGGGAGGCAGCAGUAAGGAAUAUUGGACAAUGGAGGCAACUCUGAUCCAGCCAUGCCGCGUGCAGGAUGAAUGCCCUAUGGGUAGUAAACUGCUUUUGUACGAGAGAAAACCUAUUUACGUGUAGAUAGUUGAUAGUAUCGUAAGAAUAAGGAUCGGCUAACUUCGUGCCAGCAGCCGCAGUAAGAC
rnacentral:rRNA from 1 species